rnacentral:rRNA from 1 species
UACGUAGGGUGCGAGCGUUGUCCGGAAUUAUUGGGCGUAAAGAGCUCGUAGGCGGUGUGUCACGUCGGCCGUGAAAACCUGCAGCUUAACUGUGGGCGUGCGGUCGAUACGGGCAUCACUGGAGUGCGGCAGGGGAGACUGGAAUUCCUGGUGUAGCGGUGAAAUGCAUUGAGAUCGGAAAGAACACCAACGGCGAAAGCAACUCUGCUGGGCCGACACUGACACUGAGAGACGAAAGCUAGGGGAGCAAAUGGG